rnacentral:rRNA from 1 species
UACGAGUGCCCCGAGCAUUAUCCGGAAUCAUUGGGCGUAAAGGGUGUGUAGGUGGUUGUAUUAGUCGGCUGUCAAAGCCUGGGGCUUAACCCCAGAUCCGCGGCCGAAACGGUACGACUAGAGGGUGCGAGGGAUGUGUGGAACUCAUGGAGUAGGGGUGAAAUCCGUUGAUAUCAUGGGGAACACCAAAAGCGAAGGCAGCACAUUGGCGCAUUCCUGACACUGAAACACGAAAGCGUGGGUAGCGAAUGGG